UGCCCGAUGGUGUAAUGGCAGCACAUGGGUUUUUGGAGCCCUGAGUCAUGGUUCGAGUCCAUGUCGGGCAACCA
rnacentral:tRNA from 1 species